rnacentral:rRNA from 1 species
UGAAACCGUUUAGGGGUAAACCUGAGAAACCCGAAAGGUCGAAGGGAGAAAUUCAUUCGCGUUUCGCGGAAGGCUCGAACGGGUUCGUACGACGGAAGACGUGUUCGCGCACGUUUUCCGCGUUUCCCGUUCGACGAUCCUUCGGCGAACGCGUGCACUUUUCUCCUGGUAGGACGUCGCGAUCCGUUGAGCGUCGGUUUACGGUUUCGAGUGGAGACCGGCCCGGUUUCGUACGUUACCGGACGUCGGACCUCGGACGCCCGACCGACACGCUCGACGGUAGAAGAAAGGUUAGAGGCCGCUCUCGUAGCGUCCGUGUCGCGCGCAAGUACGUCAGUCUUUCAGUUGGCGAUCGGACCCGGUGCCGAUCGCCGACAGCUGGCGAUUACUGGCCGCGUUCUCUCGGACAGACCUCGUGACCGAUCGGCGACGCUAUAGCUUUGGGUACUUUCAGGACCCGUCUUGAAACACGGACCAAGGAGUCUAGCAUGUGCGCGAGUCAUUGGGAAUCGCUAAACCUAAAGGCGCAAUGAAAGUAAAGGUCUCCCUUGCGGAGACCGAGGGAAGACGGGCGUGUUUCGGCCUUAAAACCGACCGUUCUGCAUUCCCGGGGCGUCUCGUUCUCAUCGCGAGAAGAGGCGCACCAAGAGCGUACACGCUGGGACCCGAAAGAUGGUGAACUAUGCCUGGUCAGGACGAA